AGCUAUCCUGGUACUGUGGCAAAUGCCAUCGUUGGCACCUUGUGCAUUUGUAUUAGUCUUGCUGAUAUUUUAUAUGUAGAAUGCUUUGCAAUUUUAAAAUACCCCAAGGAGAAAUGAGAAGAUACAUAAACUGGAGAAUUCCGGUUGUGAAGGACAGCCGGAUGCUGUUAGAGGAAGGAAAGCAGGGGCCCGCUACUUAUUAAGGAGCCUCAAGAGAACCACGCAGGGCCUGCCACACACAACCCGACUUCACCGGGGCUUAAUUUACCUCCUGCAGGACCUCACAGACGAGAAGAAAAACGAGGCUGAUGGAGGCUGCGUCUGCAGGUUUGAAGGCUCGGGGGAUAGAAAUAAGAAACGCAUCAUUUUCCUGACUCUGAGCCCCCGCCUUCGGAGUAAAGGUCGCUUGCUCUGUCAUAUAUGGGAAGCCGAGACAUGUGACAGGACAACUUGUAGUCUCUUCCUACCAACAGAACUCAUCAGUGCUAACGGCUGCUCCUACUGCGACAGACAUCCCAGAUGAAGAGAGGAUCCGGCAGCGUCCUAGGGGACCAGCUGCUGGGUGUGCUUCCUCUUAAGCUCAACUUCAGUCCUCCCCCACCCAAGAAAUUGUUUUCCCUGACUUUUCAAAUGACCAGGCAUUACUUUAAUGAACUCCAAUUAUACAUGGAAGUAUAAGAAAAAGGAAAAAAAAAUCUACUAUCUGAAGAGAAAAAAACCACUGGAAACCUUUCCUGCUUCUCACCGUAGACCUGGCUAUCAUACCAUACGUGCUGUCUUGUGCCGCAUUUUUGUAUUCAAGAAUAGCUUUCCAUUUCAUUUGCUAGCGAUGCACGCGUUCAUUCUCAGUGGGGCUCCAUCCUUACACAACACAGUGGUAAUAAAAAGUGGUUGUUGUAAACAAAACAAAACACUAGCCUUUUGAUAAUGGCUUCACUCAAAGACUGAGGUAAGCUGUGAAGUCCAAGGAGAUCUCAAAACCAAGUGAAAAAUCAAAGGCAUUCGUUUUUCUCUUAUGAAAGUCCGGGAGAAAAAGAGGAGUGGGCCCAGUGUGCUCUGGAUGGCACGCUCCAUUCCCCACAUGGCUAGUACUAGUGGAAUGGGAAACUUGUUGGCUUGAACUUUUAAUAAAAGAGAACUUGUGGUAACUCA